rnacentral:rRNA from 1 species
UACAGAGGGUGCGAGCGUUGUUCGGAAUUAUUGGGCGUAAAGGGCGCGUAGGCGGUGCGGUAAGUCACCUGUGAAAUCUCCUGGCUCAACUGGGAGCUUGCAGGCGAAACUGCCGUGCUGGAGUGUGGGAGAGGUGCGUGGAAUUCCUGGUGUAGCGGUGAAAUGCGUAGAGAUCAGGAGGAACACCCGUGGCGAAGGCGGCGCCCUGGUCCGUUACUGACGCUGAGACGCGAAAGCGCGGGGAGCGAACGGG